CUCUAUGUUCUAGUCACUGAGGACCAGAGACCACAUUGAGGCUUCUGCCCAUUGGUAUUUUGUGUAAGUUCCAGACCUUCUUGCAACUGCAGUAGUGAGAGGAGACAUGGUUGGAGGUCAUGAGAAACCCAAGCGGUUCCGCUCAUGACUUGAAGAGCAGCUCACCUGGGGGCUUGGCUGGUGGAGGCCCUGAUGGAGAGCACAUCUUACAGGUCAAACCUGUGACCCACACCCUGCUUCACGUGUCAGUGGCUAGAGUGGGAUCGUGAUAUUUGGAUGGCCUUAUUAACAACAGGAUGUACCUGAGAUGAGCAGAAACCGGGCUGAUCACCUCAGGCGGCUUCCAGUGGGAGGCUCCGAGAUGACCUCUUCCCAGGAGGCUGUCUCCACUAGCAGGACCGAGCAGACUGCAGUUCAAGGCCAUAAUGUAAACACCCAGGUGCCUGAAGUUGAGCUACGGAACAGGAGGAUCCAGGUGCCUAAAGUUGAGCUACGGGACAGGAGUAUCCAGGUGCCUGAAGUUGAGCUAAAGGACAUGAGUACCCAGGUGCCUGAUGUUAUGGUUGAUGAUGCUACUACCCAGGUGCCUGAGGUUAAGUACCGUGGAAAUCAGACUGAUCAGACUGUUCCAACCACUUCUGGGAAG